rnacentral:rRNA from 1 species
UAGGGAAUCUUCGGCAAUGGACGAAAGUCUGACCGAGCAACGCCGCGUGAGUGAAGAAGGUUUUCGAAUCGUAAAACUCUGUUGGUAGAGAAGAACGUUGGUGAGAGUGGAAAGCUCAUCAAGUGACGGUAACUACCCAGAGAGGGACGGCUAACUACGUGCCAA